rnacentral:rRNA from 1 species
AUUGAACGCUGGCGGCAGGCCUAACACAUGCAAGUCGAAUGGUAACAGGAAACAGCUUGCUGUUUCGCUGACGAGUGGCGGACGGGUGAGUAAUGUCUGGGAAACUGCCUGAUGGAGGGGGAUAACUACUGGAAACGGUAGCUAAUACCGCAUAACGUCGCAAGACCAAAGAGGGGGACCUUCGGGCCUCUUGCCCUCAGAUGUGCCCAGAUGGGAUUAGCUAGUAGGUGGGGUAACGGCUCACCUAGGCGACGAUCCCUAGCUGGUCUGAGAGGAUGACCAGCCACACUGGAACUGAGACACGGUCCAGACCCCUACGGGAGGCAGCAGUGGGGAAUAUUGCACAAUGGGCGCAAGCCUGAUGCAGCCAUGCCGCGUGUAUGAAGAAGGCCUUCGGGUUGUAAAGUACUUUCAGCGGGGAGGAAGGGAGUAAAGUUAAUACCUUUGCUCAUUGACGUUACCCGCAGAAGAAGCACCGGCUAACUCCGUG